rnacentral:rRNA from 1 species
AGUGAACGCUGGCGGUAGGCCUAACACAUGCAAGUCGAACGGCAGCACAGUAAGAGCUUGCUCUUACGGGUGGCGAGUGGCGGACGGGUGAGGAAUACAUCGGAAUCUACUUUUUCGUGGGGGUUAACGUAGGGAAACUUACGCUAAUAUCGCAUAUGAUCCACCGGGGAAAGCAGUGGAUAUUCGGAGCUUGCGCGAAUGAAUGAGCCGAUGUCGGGUUAGCUAGUUGGGGGGGGAAAGGCCCACCAAGGCGAGGAUCCGUAGCUGGUCUGAGAGGAUGAUCAGCCACCCUGGAACUGAGACACGGUCCAGACUCCUACGGGAGGCAGCAGUGGGGAAUAUUGGACAAUGGGCGCAAGCCUGGUCCAGCCAUCCCGCGUGGGUGAAGAAGGCCUUCGGGUUGUAAAGCCCUUUUGUUGGGAAAGAACAGCAGCAGGUUGAUACCCCGCUGUUCUGACGGUACCGAAAGAAUAAGCACCGGCUAACUUCGUG